ACGUGUUUAGGUGACAACCUAUCUUUAACUAACGUGGGCAGACUAUUCAGAACAGCCAGGUUGGUGUAAAAAAAAAAGCGAGGUUGCCAGAACGCUGCCCCAGUUAUAGUCACAAAAUUGGUAAGUCGAGAAACAAUGUGCUGUUGAAGCAACUAAAGGAAUGUUCCUUCCCCAAAGAAGACUUAUCACACAGGCCUUUCUGUCAUGUAGCAGUGUCGACAUCCUGAUGUCAAACUAUACUGCCACAAGUACAAGCCAAACAUGCCACACUGGUAUGAUGCUUGGCCCGUUGGUAAAGUCUUUGCAGUCUGCCACUUUGCCAGAUGAUUGGAAGGUGGGUAAGGUGGCUCCACUUCACAAAUCAGGGAGCAAGUAGGCCCUCUGGUAGUUGCAGAAAGCACACUCCGUGAUGAUCUGAGCACCAAUGGACUUGAGGCAUUGGACGGUUGUAGCCACCACGCAGCCCGAGUAGAGCAUGCCAGCCACCAGGAGUAAGUUGCCGGCUCCAACUCGACUACCUCGAACAAGUGGCUGGCUUCUCCGCCGGAGCUUGUGCAGUCACUCGCACACCCCCUUUACAAUGACCAGAGUUCCCAUGACGAUGAAGUUCAGGUUGCCAUCUGCUUGGCCAGAUAUGGAGCAGUUAGCGAGCAGUUCACAAAGGGAGCUCUCAAACACAAUGAACUUUCGUUCCCUGGGAAGAGGCUCUUCUACCGUUAGACCUCCAGUGCUGUUGUCUUGAUGAGUACUGCAGAUGAAUGACCCCA